ensembl:lincRNA
GAUGUAAAGCGUCAUGUGUUCAUUUGCACACUCGUGGGAAACCCCAGCUGCUUUCACCAAAUCUAUCCAGAACGAUCGUAAACACAGAGGAGAGCAUGCUUAACUAACUGUAUAUCCAAAAGGAACAUCCACAGCAAGACAGAGCCCGAAAAUUAUCCUGGGGAAAACAUUCAUUCAUUUUCAUGCAUCUUGGAAUUUCAGACCAACAAGUAAACAGUGCAGAGCGUGUAAAGGAAUUUAUCUCCAAUGGAAACAUGAAUUCCUACUACUUUCACUGUAAGGAGAUUGACUCUACAGUUUUGCUGACAUUCUCAGAAGCUCCAGUUUUUGUGAGAUGGCAUAAGGUUCCCUCAUGGCAUUGGAAGGAGCCUCAGAGAUUUGCUUUUCUUUGCCUACCUAGCUCUGGAAUGAUGAGUCUGCCCUACCACUCAGCAGCUUUCCAUGUGUUCUGGAGGUCAAACAGGUUCUCGUGCCUGCAAGCAGACUAUUUCUAAGCUGAGCUGCCUAUCAGGAAAAACUGCCAGCAAUCGCCAUAUUCAAAUCUAGUCACAGCAUGUCUUCUUACCUGUAAGAAACUGGCCAACGGAGAGGAUGUUCAUGUUAACAGUACACCCGGAGUAGACUAGAAACGUGGCCCAAUGCCUCACCUCACACUUGAGUGCCCUGUGUAAUCAAGCAGAUUUCAAUCCGGAGGCUAUUCCAUGGACAAAAGAGAGGAACUACAACCCCUGGCAACACUUAAAGCGAAGAAUUGGAGCGCUUAUCACAAUUUGCAAGCGUUCCACCAUCCAGGUGCCGUGCUCUGAGGAGGCCUCCGUCAACAUGUCUCAUUAAGGCCAAUGCAGGAAGUGGCAGGCGAUGACUGCCAGCUGAGUAGCAGCACUAAGAACUGUAGAAGAAAACCCUACAUGACAAUAGUUAGAGGAGAGCCUUGUGCCCAGAAGUGCCUCACAGGCUCGCUUUGGAAAACAAUACUCUAGCUUUAGAACUAAGAGAUAUUUACAUAAUGUUCUCAAAGGCAGAAAAAUAUACUUUGGGGGAAAUGUUUUAGGUUUAAGAGUUAUGUGUUAUUGAAAGAAAACUUAUCCCAUACUUAAGAGUCUGAUGUCUGGACUUUUCUUAUUCAGUAAAAUGAGAAUAUAAAAUCAUAUUAUAAAUGUGGGCAGAGAUUUGGGACCAGAGACUAUGGGAGGGCACAGCUGUUAACUUCAGCCUCUAAGGCUUCUCACACAUGAUCAUGAUACUCAUAGGUGGUUUUCAACAUAAAUAAACAUAAGAUUUCAGCUUCCUAUCUAUCCUUAAAAGCUUAAAUGAGAUGCUUUAAUUAAAUUGAAAAGGAAAAGAAAAUUAUAUCAGAGGAUUUUGUAUUAUUUACACCAUUUACUGCUCCAAACUCUUCCUGUUCAUCUUAGACCCUGGAUAAAUAUUUUGAAAUAUAAAGAAUUAGAAUUUGUAUUUAUGAUUUAUACUUACUAUUAAUAUUUCAGUGAGUAUAAAACUUGGUGAACUAAAAUCCUCUCUCCUCUCUUAAUUUGUUUCCUGUAGUUGACCAUUAUUCUUACAUGUUUGUAUGCUUCAAGUGUACAGACAUAAUAGUUGUGAUGAUAAUACCACUCAAACCUUGUCUGAGUAGAUCCGGGUACUGGUGUAAGUACUCUCUGUGUUCCCUCAUAAAUGGUUUUAUUAAGUCCCCAUUUGAGUCUUGCAACUACUGUUUCUAUUCUAAUAUAUAAGAGAACAAAACAAGCACAGGUGAGCCACAUUCUUAACAAAAUAUUAUUAUCCCUGCCAUUUUACCCCACAAUUUUCUUUGAGCUCCAAGGUUCAUCCCUGUUUCUGUAGGGAAGUAGACAGUUUUUCCCAACUGUUUUGAAUGAUUGCAUAGUACUACGUUUGACUGCAUCAACAUAGUAAUACAGUACAACGAUUAAGCCAUUAUCAUGGUGUUAAACAUGCAUGCUAGCAAUGGUUUUCAAAAAAGUUGUCUGUAGGUAGAGGCGCAUAAUAUUAUAGUAGCCUAUCUUUAGGAUAAGUUCAUAGAAAUAGCACUUCUGAUUCAACAUGGUCUCUUAGUACAUAGACAUCUUAUACGUGAGAUUGAUUACUUUCCAAAAUAUUGUCAAAUGCCAUUAUCAGUUUCACUCAUUGCCAGUGUGAAACCUGAAAGCAAUAUCUUCUAGUUACUGUAUGUUGUGUUUACCUAGUAUAAGUGAUUUUGAGUAUACUUGCAUUUCUUUUUAUUAAUUACAUCCAAUUUUAAAUUAUAUCCUAGAUACAUAAUAUAAAUAAAUGCUAAAUUUAUUAUUAUAGAGAAAUACAGAUAUAUG